AUUGAACGCUGGCGGCAUGCCUUACACAUGCAAGUCGAACGGUAACAGGUCUUCGGAUGCUGACGAGUGGCGAACGGGUGAGUAAUACAUCGGAAGGUGCCCGAUCGUGGGGGAUAACGAGGCGAAAGCUUUGCUAAUACCGCAUACGAUCUACGGAUGAAAGCGGGGGAUCUUCGGACCUCGCGCGGACGGAGCGGCCGAUGGCAGAUUAGGUAGUUGGUGGGAUAAAAGCUUACCAAGCCGACGAUCUGUAGCUGGUCUGAGAGGAUGAUCAGCCACACUGGGACUGAGACACGGCCCAGACUCCUACGGGAGGCAGCAGUGGGGAAUUUUGGACAAUGGGCGAAAGCCUGAUCCAGCCAUGCCGCGUGCAGGAUGAAGGCCUUCGGGUUGUAAACUGCUUUUGUACGGAACGAAAAGCCUCUUUCUAAUAAAGAGGGGUCAUGACGGUACCGUAAGAAUAAGCACCGGCUAACUACGUG
rnacentral:rRNA from 1 species